GACGAACGCUGGCGGCGUGCUUAACACAUGCAAGUCGAACGCUGAAACCAGAGCUUGCUUUGGUGGAUGAGUGGCGAACGGGUGAGUAACACGUGGGUGAUCUGCCCUACACUUUGGGAUAAGCCUGGGAAACUGGGUCUAAUACCGAAUAUUCACACCACCGUAGGGGUGGUGUGGAAAGCUUUAUGCGGUGUGGGAUGAGCCUGCGGCCUAUCAGCUUGUUGGUGGGGUAAUGGCCUACCAAGGCGUCGACGGGUAGCCGGCCUGAGAGGGUGUACGGCCACAUUGGGACUGAGACACGGCCCAGACUCCUACGGGAGGCAGCAGUGGGGAAUAUUGCACAAUGGGCGCAAGCCUGAUGCAGCGACGCCGCGUGGGGGAUGACGGCCUUCGGGUUGUAAACUCCCUUCGCUAUCGACGAAGCCACCUUGGGUGGUGACGGUAGGUAGAUAAGAAGCACCGGCUAACUACGUGCCAGCAGCCGCAGUAA
rnacentral:rRNA from 1 species